UANUCGCAUCCUUCACCACCACCGCAGUGACACUUUGUAAGGACCUCUUUUUCUUUCUCUUUAUGUUUGUUGAUUGAAAAUAUUGUGAGAGCUGAGAGUGAUUGAGAGGGGUUCGUUGAGAACGAGAGUGAGAUUGAGAGAAAUGUGAAGUUUGGUGUGCGUGAGAUUGCCAUUGUUGGGGAAGGUUGAGUUCGUAAGGUGAGAGAGAUGAGAAGAAGACGAGCUUCUGUUUUGUUUUUUUUCUUUUUCGUUUCCAUUUUCUGUUUCCUUUUUUUUAAUUUUUUUUAAUUUGUUUUUUAACAGAGAUAAAAAAAAACAUAAAAAUGUUUAUAGGUUAUUUAUUUUUUUUGUUUUAGCCGGUUGAUAUAUUUAAGGUAGUAUUUCGGUAACAUAUGAUCUUGAGUGGUCUGGUGGAGAGGAGUGAUUUUAUGGUCUUGAGUGGGGUGGGUUCAAUACUCGGGUUUGUUGCUUUGGUUUUCCAACAUUUUUUGAUCUUUCCAUAUUUUUCUAGCCUUACCAUUUAACUAACAUGUUUCUAUCAUU
rnacentral:lncRNA from 1 species